rnacentral:lncRNA from 1 species
CGCACUCCCCUGGGACUCGCUUCUCAUUUCUGCAAGCUGGAACUUGCUGCCCUAGUCCCCGAGGGCUCGCAGCCGGAACUCGAACACGCUGCAACCAACUCUGGCAAGCCAGCUUGCUGUAUCAGACCUGGCUCCCAGCCUGGGCCAGGUGACCACCCCUGAGCGGCCGGGCAAACCGAGGGGAAACUCGCGCAUGCCUUGAUGCUAUUGGGUCGCCAAGGGUUCAUUUCAGGUCACUUGGUCAUUCUUCUGCCUCCAGCAGGUCUGGUUGCUAGGACUGGAGACAUGAGAAGCAGGUAGACUGGCUCCUUUGAUCCCACUCAGUACUCCUAAUCUCCAGUGGUCAGAGCACACAGGAAAGAGGACACCUGUGCCCCUCCAUCCAACUAUGAAAAACAAAAAAGCUGGCACCAAGAAAUUUGAAUUUUCCCAGGAAUCUCAAUGCUGGGAGAAAGAAAAGGCUGAAGCCUGGUGCCAGCCAAAGAGAGCUUGUCUCUCAGGAAGAGACUUCACAUGGUUCUGAAGAAUGAGAAUAGUCACUAUGACCUUCUCAUACCUUUGUGUGAAGUUGUGUGAGACAGUGAGUUAAAGGGAGUUCAG